GGCGUCGAACCGUCAAGUCUAUG
rnacentral:siRNA from 1 species